GGCGCUUUGGCGGAGUGGUUAACGCGGUGCCCUGCGUAGGCAUUUCCUUCGGGAGCGCAGGUUCGAGUCCUGCAGGCGUCG